AUUGAACGCUGGCGGCAUGCCUUACACAUGCAAGUCGAACGGCAGCGGGGGAGAAGCUUGCUUUUCCUGCCGGCGAGUGGCGAACGGGUGAGUAAUACAUCGGAACGUGCCCUGUAGUGGGGGAUAACUAGUCGAAAGAUUAGCUAAUACCGCAUACGACCUGAGGGUGAAAGUGGGGGACCGCAAGGCCUCAUGCUAUAGGAGCGGCCGAUGUCUGAUUAGCUAGUUGGUGGGGUAAAGGCCUACCAAGGCGACGUUCAGUAGCUGGUCUGAGAGGACGGCCAGCCACACUGGGACGGCGACCCGGCCCAGACUCCCACGGGAGGCAGCAGUGGGGAAUUUUGGACAAUGGGCGAAAGCCUGAUCCAGCAAUGCCGCGUGUGUGAAGAAGGCCUUCGGGUUGUAAAGCACUUUUGUCCGGAAAGAAAUGGCUCUGGUUAAUACCUGGGGUCGAUGACGGUACCGGAAGAAUAAGGACCGGCUAACUACGUGCCAGCCGCCGCGGUAA
rnacentral:rRNA from 1 species